CACGUAGGGCGCAAGCGUUGUCCGGAAUUAUUGGGCGUAAAGAGCUCGUAGGCGGUCUGUUGCGUCCGCUGUGAAAACCCGGGGCUUAACCCCUGGCUUGCAGUGGAUACGGACAGACUAGAGGUAGGUAGGGGAGAAUGGAAUUCCCGGUGUAGCGGUGAAAUGCGCAGAUAUCGGGAGGAAUACCGGUGGCGAAGGCGGCAUCCUGGACCGACAUUGACGCUGAGGAGCGAAAGCUAGGGGAGCAAACGGG
rnacentral:rRNA from 1 species